GAGUCCUUACGGAAGGCUGAAUGGGAACUCCACCUACUGCCUGUUGACCAAGCAUUAAAUAUUUUGGAGGUUCAAAAGCCUCUGAGCUUGUCAUAAUGGGCUUGCUUUCAGCACUGAGCAAAGAAUUACCCAUCUGGGAUAUCAUUCUCCUCCGGGAAAGGGUCUCCAAUCACCUCUCAUAAGGAGACAUGUCCUGCUGCCUCACUGCGGUGGCCUCAGGGGUAAGGAAUCAGAACCCACCCAGUGUGAAGAAUAAACCUGGACUCUCGGCAACACAGGAAGAAAAAGCCUACAGUACAGAUACCACGGCGACAAGGACUCAAGGCCUCCUAGCGAGAUUACAUCCUUGUCAAAGGUUGGAAAGAGGGAAAGCUCAAACCCACCUGGGAAGGACCUUACCUGGUACUCCUAACAACUGAAAUAGCACUCCGGAAAGCCGAAAAAGGGUGAACCCACCACACAAGUGAAGAAGGCCCCACCUCUGGCAAAGUCAUGGACCAUCACUCCAGGACCAACAGCCUCAAAACUAACAUUCAAACGGGUUUGUCUUUUUCUUCUCCCCUUAGCUACUCAAGGAUAUCUUACUGUUAAUGUAACUAUGCUUGUCUAGUCUUACCUUGUGGAGAUCUCCAAAGUCAAAGACAGUUAGCUUGUACAGAAAAGUACUUCUGCCCCUCUGUGGAAAGAGUUAAUACUCCUGUGUCUUGCAUAUGGGGGGAAUCCUCAGAGGAAGAGUUAGGCAAUUGGGGGUUAUGGUCUCAGUGGGCAGUUUUAGGGCACUGCCCUAAAACCAUACCUACACUUCACCAAAGGGGCCACCCCUUCUGACUGUCAAUCUAAUCAUUGCAAUCCAGUACUUAUCCAUUGUAAAAAUUAAAGAUCUAAAGCAAACCAUAGCCAUUGAAA
ensembl:lncRNA novel transcript, antisense to CEP85L